UGGACCAGUGAUGAUGAUUAAUGGCAUAGGAGUCACGUGUGAUGAAUACUAUGUGUCUGGAACUCUGAGGUCCAG